UACAUAGGAAUCAUGUGUAUAUGGAUGUUUUGUCUGCAUGUACAUCUUCACAGCAAAAGAGGAUACCAGGUCCUGAGACUACAGGUGGAACACAGAACUUAUGAAAGAAGAGUCUUUGUCUUGUUUCAGAUUUUAAAGAAGAGCUCAACAAAUAAUACAUUCAGCACGGAAAGGAACCUGCACACACUUCGCCCAUUUCCCCAGUGCUGGGGUACAGGGCACUCAGCCUGUCAGUGACACCCACGUGAUGGAGCCAGGCUGCAUCACCCAGGCUUGGUCUCCUUCACACCUCACCAGGUCUGACUCAUUGAGGUCUUGAUGUAGCUCAGCCUGACUGUGAAGUCCCAUCAGUCCACAGUCAGACAGUGGCAUCAAACACACCCACACCUUGGUCCCCUCCAUCUAUCCCUAGAGGGACACCUUCAAGUCCUCUUUCCUUCUUUUUAGCCAGCAGCCACUGCUCUUUGUAGAGUUGGGUUAAGAUGGUCUGUCUGUCUGUCUGUCUAUGCCUAUCUAUCUGCCAUUCAUUUAUUGUGCUUGAGACAUAUCUGUGGUUAUGUGCAUUCACACAGCUGUGAACAUCUGUUUCAUGCAGAUGCCAGAGGAGGGCAUCAGUUUGUCCUGUUCUAUCCGUGGAGACUAAAGUCUAAAUAAGGAGUCCACCUUAUUCUCUUGAUACGGAGUCUCUCACUGGACCUGGAGCUAGGCGUCCUCCAUCAAGUCACAGACAUUCUCCUGCCUCUGCUCCUCACAACACUGGUGUUCCAGGCAGCAUGGGCACACCUGGCUUUUUACACAUAUGCUUGGGGUUUUAACUCAGGUCUUCACGCUUGCAUAUCUGAGUCAUCUCCCAAGCCACAUGCUUCUGCCACAUGGCGUGUGAGCACAGCAUCACAUAUUUUCAAGGACGAUGUCUG
rnacentral:lncRNA from 1 species